AUUUGAAAUUGCUUCUAAGGACCUGGUUUUCCUUCUGGUUGUGUGCAGAGAUCUCUACCCAUUUUGGAGGCCUCGCUCAUGGGUGAAGAAGGUUCCUUUCUACACAAGAGUGGCUUGGGUCUAAACCUGAUACGUCUCUUCCAAAUUCCUUCAUUUAAACAAGAGUAUGUUCUACAAUUCUAGGAUGUUAAAGACUAGGGUUUUCCAUCAGUGACUGUCAACAAAGUUGAACAUGAUACAGAGAGAUAACAGUGACUCCUUUCAUCAUGAAUGCAAGUCCAUCAUCUUCAGAUUAAAUAUUUCAAACACAGACUGGAAGCAUAGCAUUGUUGAUUAAAUUUGUGGUGUGUGACACAAACAAUGGAAGUGAAGAGCCAGAAGGAGAAAAUAAUUGGAGCAGGAAGAUGAAAAAUGGCAAGGCUGGAGGAGAAAAUCAAAGAUGAUGAAAUGUAUGUUGUUACCAUUUUGACAGGAUUAUUUAUUCCAAUCCAACAAUGAGUUUACAUGCUUUCGGGCAAAAUGGUGGCCUAGUGGUGAUGUCACUGGACUAGUAAUUGAGAGCUCGGGCAAAAUGCAUUUAAAACUCACCAUGGUAGCUGGUGGAACUUGAACUCAAUUUCUAAAUUGGGUAUUUAAAACUAGUUGUGGUAAACAUGACCAUUAAACUAUCAUUGAUAUCACAAGGAAAAGAAAUCCAUCAUCUUUGCUUAGACUGA